AAAAGAACAUGAGAUCACAAAGAAGGCCUGAUUAUGCAAUUAUUACCUAUGGGGGUUAGGGAUAGCUGUACUGCAGCAGAGGCAAUUGGGGCCAAUAUUACACAGUCCUUAAGCUAAAAAUGCCAGAGGUAAGCCUGAGACCCAGUGCCGACUAAUUUAAUUAAGAAGAUCUCUGCUGGAGGGUGUCUGGGAAAGAAUUUUCUUCUUAAAGAGAGAUGGAUGAAGAUAAGACUUUUCCCUCCCUCCCUUCUUGUUGGGUAUGUUUGGUGUGAAGAUAUGCCAUACAGAUCUACUGCACCUAUUUGGGCACCAUGAGGAAGAGGCCAACAAAAUUCUAGAGAAGGCAACCCAGUGCUCUGGCAGUAUUGAGGCUCCAAACCAGCCCUGGAAAGUUCUACAGUGGAACUCCAUCAUAUGUGCAUUAAACUGAAUUGAAAUCAUACGACUCAGCAAAAUCAACAUAACAACUGAUGACAACAAAAACA
rnacentral:lncRNA from 1 species